rnacentral:misc_RNA from 1 species
GAAAUGCGAUAAGUAGUGUGAAUUGCAGAAUUCAGUGAAUCAUCGAAUCUUUGAACGCACAUUGCGCCCUUUGGUAUUCCUUAGGGCAUGCCUGUUCGAGCGUCAUUUGUAACCUCAAGCUCAGCUUGGUGUUGGGUGUCUGUCCCCGCCCCGCGCGGGGACUCGCCUCAAAAACAUUGGCGGCCGGUACGUUGGCUUCGAGCGCAGCAGAAACGCGAACUCGAGGCCCGACGGAUCGGCGACCAGAAGUCACUUCUUCCACAGCUUGACCUCGGAUCAGGUAGGGAUACCCGCUGAACUUAAGC